GCAGGCCUAUACAUAGCACGCCGAACGGUAGCACAGAGAGCUUGCUCUCGCGUGACGAGUGGCGGACGUGUGAGUAAUGUCUGGGAAACUGCCUGAUGGAGGGGGAUAACUACUGGAAACGGUAGCUAAACCGCAUAACGUCGCAAGACCAAAGAGGGGGACCUUCGGGCCUCUUGCCAUCAGAUGUGCCCAGAUGGGAUUAGCUAGUAGGUGGGGUAACGGCUCACCUAGGCGACGAUCCCUAGCUGGUCUGAGAGGAUGACCAGCCACACUGGAACUGAGACACGGUCCAGACUCCUACGGGAGGCAGCAGUGGGGAAUAUUGCACAAUGGGCGCAAGCCUGAUGCAGCCAUGCCGCGUGUAUGAAGAAGGCCUUCGGGUUGUAAAGUACUUUCAGCGGGGAGGAAGGCGAUAAGGUUAAUAACCUUGUCGAUUGACGUUACCCGCAGAAGAAGCACCGGCUAACUCCGUGCCAGCAGCCGCGGUAAUACGGAGGGUGCAAGCGUUAAUCGGAAUUACUGGGCGUAAAGCGCACGCAGGCGGUCUGUCAAGUCGGAUGUGAAAUCCCCGGGCUCAACCUGGGAACUGCAUUCGAAACUGGCAGGCUGGAGUCUUGUAGAGGGGGGUAGAAUUCCAGGUGUAGCGGUGAAAUGCGUAGAGAUCUGGAGGAAUACCGGUGGCGAAGGCGGCUCUCUGGGACAAAGACUGACGCUCAGGUGCGAAAGCGUGGGGAGCAAACAGGAUUAGAUACUCUGGUAGUCCACGCUGUAAACGAUGUCGACUUGGAGGUUGUUCUCUUUGAGGAGUGGCUUCCGGAGCUAACGCGUUAAGUCGA
rnacentral:rRNA from 1 species